CGGCGGACGGGUGAGUAACACGUGGGUAACCUACCUAUAAGACUGGGACAACUUCGGGAAACCGGAGCUAAUACCGGAUAAGAUAUCGAACCGCAUGGUUCGAUAGUGAAAGAUGGUUUUGCUAUCACUUAUAGAUAGACCCGCGCCGUAUUAGCUAGUUGGUGAGGUAACGGCUCACCAAGGCAACGAUACGUAGCCGACCUGAGAGGGUGAUCGGCCACACUGGAACUGAGACACGGUCCAGACUCCUACGGGAGGCAGCAGCC
rnacentral:rRNA from 1 species